AGUAGUUUGUACUCUGGCUCAGGAUGAACGCUGGCGGCGUGCUUAACACAUGCAAGUCGAACGAAGCAGGAGGGUGCUUGCACCUUCCUGACUGAGUGGCGGACGGGUGAGUAACACGUGGAUAAUCUGCCCUGCACAGGGGGACAACAGCUAGAAAUGGCUGCUAAUACCGCAUAAGCCUACAGCCUCGCAUGAGGGAGUAGGAAAAGAAAUUCGGUGCAGGAUGAGUCCGCGUCUGAUUAGCUAGUUGGAGGGGUAAGAGCCCACCAAGGCAACGAUCAGUAGCCGGCCUGAGAGGGCGACCGGCCACAUUGGGACUGAGACACGGCCCAAACUCCUACGGGAGGCAGCAGUGGGGAAUAUUGCACAAUGGGGGGAAACCCUGAUGCAGCGACGCCGCGUGAGCGAGGAAGUAUUUCGGUAUGUAAAGCUCUAUCAGCAGGGACGAAAAAAAGACGGUACCUGACUAAGAAGCCCCGGCUAACUACGUG
rnacentral:rRNA from 1 species